rnacentral:rRNA from 1 species
CAACGCGAAGAACCUUACCUGGUCUUGACAUCCACGGAAGUUUUCAGAGAUGAGAAUGUGCCUUCGGGAACCGUGAGACAGGUGCUGCAUGGCUGUCGUCAGCUCGUGUUGUGAAAUGUUGGGUUAAGUCCCGCAACGAGCGCAACCCUUAUCCUUUGUUGCCAGCGGUCCGGCCGGGAACUCAAAGGAGACUGCCAGUGAUAAACUGGAGGAAGGUGGGGAUGACGUCAAGUCAUCAUGGCCCUUACGACCAGGGCUACACACGUGCUACAAUGGCGCAUACAAAGAGAAGCGACCUCGCGAGAGCAAGCGGACCUCAUAAAGUGCGUCGUAGUCCGGAUUGGAGUCUGCAACUCGACUCCAGAAGUCGGAAUCGCUAGUAAUCGUGGACCAGAAUGCCACGGUGAAUACGUUCCCGGGCCUUGUACACACCGCCCGUAA